rnacentral:rRNA from 1 species
AACGAACGCUGGCGGCGUGGAUUAGGCAUGCAAGUCGCACGUGAAAGGGGAGCUUGCUCCCCGAGUAAAGUGGCGAGCGGGUGAGUAACGCGUGAGAAACCUGCCUUGUAGAGGGGAAUAACAGUCCCAACGGAUUGCUAAUACCGCAUGAGCUCGAUGGAUCGCAUGGUUCGUCGAGGAAAGGUGGCCUCUGCUCGCAAGCUAUCGCUACAAGAGGGUCUCGCGUCCGAUUAGCUAGUUGGCGGUGUAAAAGACCACCAAGGCUUCGAUCGGUAGCUGGUCUGAGAGGAUGGGUCAGCCACACUGGGACUGAGAUACGGCCCAGACUCCUACGGGAGGCAGUAGUCGAGAGGGCUUCGGGCAAUGGGGGAAACCCUGACCGAGCGACGCCGCGUGGAGGGAUGAAGGCCCUUGGGUUGUAAACUCCUUUCGGUGGGGAAGAAUGUAUUCGAGGUAAAUAAUCUCGAGUAUUGACGGUACCCCAAAGAAGAAAGCUCCGGGCUAAACUCCGUGCC